rnacentral:rRNA from 1 species
GCAACGGAUCUCUUGGCUCUCGCAUCGAUGAAGAACGCAGCGAAAUGCGAUAAGUAAUGUGAAUUGCAGAAUUCAGUGAAUCAUCGAAUCUUUGAACGCACCUUGCGCUCCUUGGUAUUCCGAGGAGCAUGCCUGUUUGAGUGUCAUUAAAUUCUCAACUUCAUCAGUUUUGU